rnacentral:rRNA from 1 species
AUACGGAGGGCGCAAGCGUUGUUCGGAAUCAUUGGGCGUAAAGCGCGCGUAGGCGGUUUGAUCAGUCGGAUGUGAAAUCCCCGGGCUCAACCUGGGAAUUGCAUACGAAACUGUCAAGCUAGAGUAUGGUAGAGGUGAGUGGAAUUCCUGGUGUAGCGGUGAAAUGCGUAGAUAUCAGGAGGAACAUCAGGGGCGAAGGCGCCUUCCUGGACUAAUACUGACACUGAGGUGCGAAAGCGUGGGUAGCAAACAGGAUUAGAAACCCUAGUAGUCC